rnacentral:rRNA from 1 species
UGAACGCUGGCGGCGUGCCUAAUACAUGCAAGUCGAGCGAACAGACGAGGAGCUUGCUCCUCUGACGUUAGCGGCGGACGGGUGAGUAACACGUGGAUAACCUACCUAUAAGACUGGGAUAACUUCGGGAAACCGGAGCUAAUACCGGAUAAUAUAUUGAACCGCAUGGUUCAAUAGUGAAAGACGGUUUUGCUGUCACUUAUAGAUGGAUCCGCGCCGCAUUAGCUAGUUGGUAAGGUAACGGCUUACCAAGGCAACGAUGCGUAGCCGACCUGAGAGGGUGAUCGGCCACACUGGAACUGAGACACGGUCCAGACUCCUACGGGAGGCAGCAGUAGGGAAUCUUCCGCAAUGGGCGAAAGCCUGACGGAGCAACGCCGCGUGAGUGAUGAAGGUCUUCGGAUCGUAAAACUCUGUUAUUAGGGAAGAACAAAUGUGUAAGUAACUAUGCACGUCUUGACGGUACCUAAUCAGAAAGCCACGGCUACCUACGUG